rfam:Lactobacillus composti DSM 18527 = JCM 14202 strain DSM 18527 NODE_13, whole genome shotgun sequence.
UUAUAACAAAAAUAAAUUAGAGGCUCCUACAUGGACACAGGCUGCUGUACAGAAACGUUGCGAAACGCCAAUGUAUAAGACAGAGAUAGUCGAACGAAGGCUAGCUCCCAAGCAGCUAAAGUGUGUACCACUUUUACGACGUGUAGUGCUGAAAUUAGAGUAAUCUAGUUCAGA